GCCCGGAUGGCGGAAUUGGUAGACGCGCUGGUCUCAAACACCAGUGAGCUUGCUCGUGCCGGUUCGACCCCGGCUCCGGGUA
rnacentral:tRNA from 1 species